rnacentral:lncRNA from 1 species
GUUAUACUAAGUUUUAUGAUAAAAUGCUAUUCAUUAUUUAUUUCUGGUUUGCACAAAAUAAAAUGUAUACAUCUCUAGUCAAAAUUACAUCAUAUUUGAGAAUAUUACUGUAGAGUUGGUGUCAAAAAACCAUCAAUAUGCAUCACCAGUUCACCACUAUAAACACUGAGUUCAGGAGACACAGUUGAAUAGCAGACAGAAAAAGUUCAAUAGAAAAUUCAGAGAAUUUAAUGGUAUACAUCAACAAACUAUAUGCACAUAUCAUUCAUAAGCAUAUCUGUUUUAUGUGGAAAAAUAAAAGAACUGUCAACUUUACUUGUACACAUCAAAAGAAAUUGAAUUUAUCCUAGGAUGUAUUUUGCAUAUUCAAUUGACAUUGCUAUUUAUUUAAUGUAACUGUGUUUUGUGCUAAAUUUCUAAAACAUGGUUAUCUAGGAUAGCUGAUCUCCAAAUGCACAAAAGAAGUUCAACAGAUUACAGAAUCUCAAAUACAAAUUGCACAGAGAAGGUUCAACUGACUGACCAAAUCAGAAACAUAGUAUCAAAGACAUUUAUGUCAGUAUCCAACUUGCAAAGAAGAACAAUAGAAGUGUGCCCUCAGCUAGGUUUAGUGCCAAAAAGAGGGACUUCUGAUAAACCAAUAAGCCUAAACUGCAAUGGUUAGAAAAUCACAGAUUUUAUUUCUAUUACGCUUUAAUAUGCAUAUGCAUAUAUACCAAUUUCCACAUAAAAAUAUAGGAAACAUGUCUGAAAAACUGUCUGGGAACAAUUGCCUUGGAUUUGUCUAUAGAUGCUGUACUCCAACACAAAUUUAAAAAAAACAACAAAGAAAGGAAUAGAAAAGACAACAAAAGACAGAAAAGACAUAAGAUCGCCAUAGCUACAUUUCACCUUUGAAAAAUUCAUUUUUCAAUAACACCAAUGUGAGCAUAAUAAAGGUAAUCUUAAAAUUGUAACAGUUCAACACACAAAUAAACAUAGUAAUUUACAUAGUGAAGUAAUUUCUAACUUAAAAUGACAAACAAUGCAUAAAAAACAAUGCUUCAAAACAUUAUGCUAUUCAUUUAUUCCCAUAGGUUGGAUGCGAACGUGAUGCCACAGUUUUGUCAUUCCAUUAAACGAGAAGCGAAAAAGUGCAUAUUUGUCAAAGAAAAAAGAAAAAUGUGCAUGUCAAUACAAUCAGCCUAUACAUUUUUUGCAAUACUUUUGUAACAAAUUUAUUCAGCUGACAAUAAUAAAGAUUUGCUGAUUAACAAUACCUGUAUCACUUACCACAUAACACACACGAUGUGAAUAAGACGGAAAAAACAAAGUAGCAAUUUAAUGCAUAAUGAUAAUGAGACACGAUUGUGACAUGACACAUUAGAUGCACAGUAUACUUAUAAUGGCUUAUCAGAAAAAUGUAGACAGCCUCAAAUUCUGCCAAAAAAUUCUAUUAUUUAUCUGGUGAAUUAUAUCAUAUUUUGAGC